CCGGACAAAGGGCUCACAUGGAGGCCGUGACACCAUUGCAGCACCUCUCUCUUUCUCUCUCUCGCGUGCAUCUUGUUUUAGAGGUCCAGUGAGAGUUCUUGCUACGUUCCAAGGAUACAUUAGAUGAGGCUCCUUGACUUUUCUGACGUCGGUUGAGAUGCAAAGUUAGCUUCCAAGCCUUGGUUGCCUACCUUUGAUUCCCUCUCCGUCCUC
rnacentral:lncRNA from 1 species